rnacentral:rRNA from 1 species
UAAUGAGGGAAGGAAAAGAAACUAACUAGGAUUUUCUUAGUAGCGGCGAGCGAAAAGAAAUCAAGUUCAGCACUAAGUUAUUUUGUUAUUUAUAACAAAUAUAAGAUGCAGUGUAUGGAAUAUCUAUAAUCUAGUAAAAUAUAUAAACAGUUCAAGUCCUUCUUAAAAGAGGCCAUUUACCCAUAGAGGGUGCUAGGCCCGUAGUAACGUUUAUGAUUACUAGAAGAUAUUUCUUAAGAGUCGUGUUGCUUGAUAGUGCAGCACUAAGUGGGUGGUAAACUCCAUCUAAAACUAAAUAUAACCAUGAGACCGAUAGCAAACAAGUACCGUGAGGGAAAGUUGAAAAGAACUCUGAAUAGAGAGUUAAAGAGUACGUGAAACUGCUUAGAGGUUAAGCCCGAUGAACCUGAAUAUCUAAUAUGAAAAAUUCAUCAUAAAUAAUAUAUAUUAUUAUUAUAUAUAUAUAAAUUAUGUGCAAUUUUUUCAUAUAAAGACAUUGUAAUCUGUUAAUAUAUAAAAAUUUAUCAUAAGUGCUGCUUGAAUUUGUUUAUAUGUUAUUAUAUAAAAUUUUAUAUUUUAUUAUAAUAUAUAAAAUUCAAUUUAAAUGCGGUUACAGAUAAAUUAUUGACAGAUAUAUAAAUAUAACGCUUACAUAAUAUUAUUAUGUUAUAAUAAGUUAAUAAGUAAAUUUUUAUUAAUAAUAUUAUAUGCGUUUAUAUGAUUAACAAUGCUAAAGAUUUAGGAUACCUUCGGGACCCGUCUUGAAACACGGACCAAGGAGUCUAACAUGUGUGCAAGUCAUUGGGUUAUUAAAAACCUAAAGGCGAAAUUAACUUAACUUUUAAAUGGGAUUAUUAUAUAUAAAAAAUAAAUUAUAUAUGGUCCAUCCCGGGGCGUUCUAUAUAGUUAUGUUUAUUUUAAUAAUAUAUUUUUAAUAUAUUAUUAUAUAUUCCUCUAACUGGAGCGUACCUUGAGCAUAUAUGUUGUGACCCGAAAGAUGGUGAACUAUACCUGAUCAGGUUGAAGUCAGGGGAAACCCUGAUGGAAGACCGAAGCAGUUCUGACGUGCAAAUCGAUUGUCAGAGUUGGGUAUAGGGGCGCAAGACUAAUCGAACUAUCUAGUAGCUGGUUCCCUCCGAAGUUUCCCUCAGGAUAGCUGGUGCAUUUAAAAAUUAUUUUAUAUAAUCUUAUCUGGUAAAGCGAAUGAUUAGAGGCAUUAGGGCCGAAACGACCUUAACCUAUUCUCAAACUUUAAAUGGGUAAGAACCUAACCUUUCUUGAUAUGAAGGUUUAGGUUAUGAUAUAUUGUGCCCAGUGGGCCACUUUUGGUAAGCAGAACUGGCGCUGUGGGAUGAACCAAACGUGAUGUUACGGCGCCUAAAUUUACAACUCAUAUUGAUACCAUGAAAGGCGUUGCUUGCUUAAAACAGCAGGGCGGUGGACAUGGAAGUCGUAAUCCGCUAAGGAGUGUGUAACAACUCACCUGCCGAAGCAACUAGCCCUUAAAAUGGAUGGCGCUUAAGUUGUAUGCCUAUACAUCACCGUUAAAAUAUAUGAUUUAUAUAUAUAUUAUAAAAUAUAUAUAAAUUUUGAAAUUUUAAUGAGUAGGAGGGUACAAUGGUGUGCGUCGAAGUGUUUGGCGUAAGCCUGCAUGGAGCCGCCAUUGGUACAGAUCUUGGUGGUAGUAGCAAAUAAUCGAAUGAGACCUUGGAGGACUGAAGUGGAGAAGGGUUUCGUGUGAACAGUGGUUGAUCACGAGUUAGUCGGUCCUAAGUUCAAGGCGAAAGUCGAAAAAUUUUUAAGUUUAAUGUAAAGUAAAUUAUUUAAAAUAAUAUACUUAAAAAUUUUGAACGAAAGGGAAUACGGUUCCAAUUCCGUAACCUGUUGAGUAUACGUUUGUUAUUAAAAAUGGGCUUUAUGCUCAUCCUGGCAACAGAAACUUCCAUAAAGAAGCCGUCGAGAAAUAUCGAAAGAGUUUUCUUUUCUGUUUUAUAGUCGUACUACCAUGGAAGUCUUUCGAAGAGAGAUAUGGUAGAUGGGCUAGAAGAGCAUGGCAUUUACUGCUGUGUCGAUAUUUUCUCCUCGGACCUUGAAAAUUUAUGGUUGGGAUACGCAAACUUCUCAACAGGCCGUACCAAUAUCCGCAGCUGGUCUCCAAGGUGAAGAGUCUCUAGUCGAUAGAAUA